GUUUCUGAGUUUAGUGUGACAUCUAUUUACACUGAACUAGUACCAAUUUUUGUUUACAGGCUAGUUGAAGCCUUCCUCAGGGUGCUGGAUUUUCUGGUUGUGUUAAGACACAUUGGUGGCUUUAGGCUGUUUUCUACUCUAUGUGAAAGGUUGUAGUCUCUUUGACACUUUCCCUAUUUCCAUUCUCAAUUGUAUGAAUGAAUUACACAAGUUCACCAAGAUUUUCUUUUCUAUGGCAACAUAAGUACUAUGUACUCUCAUGAUCCACCUCUUGCGUGCCAACUAUAUGCUCCCAUUCAAAUGCAUUGAUCAUCCACAAAAGGGGGGCCAGGGGAUUUCCAGAACCCCCUGGUUCUGCCACUGACUGAUCUUUAAAGACAAACUAAUAAUGUUUCUAUAGUCUCUUUAUUACACAGGCAUAUAUCACAAUUGUUGAAAUUGUACAGAAAAAAAAUUGCAAUUAAUUCAUUGUGGUAAAUCUGUUAUCUUGAUUCUCUUCAUAUGGAAAUCAUAUACACUACAACCCAAGUGGAUCAUGUUCUUUCUACCUAACACAGUGGAGUAAAUACAGAGAAGGAGGAAUCAUCAAAAAGUUCCUUGACCCUUGUGCCUUUUGUAAAGAUUUGAAGGUUUUCAU
rnacentral:lncRNA from 1 species